rnacentral:rRNA from 1 species
UCGGGAAUUUUGGGCAAUGGGCGAAAGCCUGACCCAGCAACGCCGCGUGAAGGAUGAAGUAUUUCGGUAUGUAAACUUCGUAAGAAUAGGAAGAAUAAAUGACGGUACUAUUUGUAAGGUCCGGCUAACUACGUGCCAGCAGCCGCGGUAAUACGUAGGGACCAAGCGUUGUUCGGAUUUACUGGGCGUAAAGGGCGCGUAGGCGGUGUGUCAAGUCAGUUGUGAAAUCUCCGAGCUUAACUCGGAACGGUCAACUGAUACUGUCACACUAGAGUACAGAAGGGGCAAUCGGAAUUCUUGGUGUAGCGGUGAAAUGCGUAGAUAUCAAGAGGAACACCUGAGGUGAAGACGGGUUGCUGGGCUGACACUGACGCUGAGGCGCGAAAGCCAGGGGAGCAAACGGGAUUAGAUACCCAAGUAGUCCCUGAGCGGGCUGGCAAGGCGCAU